AAUUUUUGAUGGUUUUAAGGAUUUUACACCUGAGUCUGACAUCGUAGAAGGACCAUUCUUACAUGAGUUUGGAUUUUGCACCUGAGUCUGACAUCGCAGAAAGACCAUUCUGGUAUCAGAUUGAUUUUGCACCUGAGUCUGACAUCGCAGAAAGACUAUUCUUGCAUCAGAUUG